GAACCAUGAAUUUGUCCGAAGUAUCUUCACCAAUGGCUACUACUGCAAAUACAAACAUUCCAUGGUUCGAUGUUUCAUUCAAAGGAGCUCCUUCAAUGGUAAGUCCUUCUGGUUCUGGUGAAUAUUUCAAUGGUGGUGGUGAUGAUGAGAAAAACAAUGGAAACGGUGUCGUUUUGGAUCAUGAUCUUGACCUCGGGUGGGUUAAUGAGCUCUUGAUGUAGAGGAAGAAGAUAUAUAUAUAUGAUCUGCAAAGUGUAUAUAUUUUAUGUGUGAUUGGGUUUAAAAAGAUUGCUGAUCUGAUGAUUGUUUUUAAAUAUUUUCAUAUUGCAAACCAAGUUAAUUUCAAUUUGUAAGGCUUUUUUUUCUUGAAGAGAUCUAAUAUGAUCUUCUUUUUAUUUAUGUACUUUUUGAACUUAUGAAAUAUUGAUGAAGUCAAAACUUCUGUUCUCUUCUCCUUAUGCAUGCAUGUAUGUAUGUUGUUUGAAUUGCAUGUGAUGUAUGUGAUUGACCUAAUAAAAAUUAACGUGAUAUUGGGUACAGCUUAAAGGAGUUGGAAGAAAUAUGGGGUGAUCACACAUUAAUUACGUGGCAAACAUGCAAGCAUCGUGUCCGAUAAUACGUGUACAAAUACUACGUGUCCAUAUUAGGAGGAUAUUUGUCAAUAAAAAUUCACAUAUUUCAUCUAUUAUUUAUCUUUCAUAUUUUAUCGAAAAUGAUUUUUGCAAAAUGUGAUCUUUAUUAUAGUAUUAACGACAACAUUUUAGGGAGAGCAAAAUUUAAUUAUUAAUUAAAUAAAACAAUGAAAUUUAUUGAUUUUGAAUGAUUUUUUAUAAUAAUAUGGAAGUAUAAAAUUUAAAAGUAAUCAAAUGCAUAAAUUGAGCAAACGUAUCAUAAUUAUAUGGUUCCUACAAUAAUGUCCAAAUGUAUAACUGGAACUACACGAAAAUUGUCCAUAAACUUGAAACACCAAUGUGUGUCCAAGUGCAUAAUGUUCUUUAGGUAAGACUUUGAAGUCCAAUUUUCCUGUACUUCUUAUUUUCAGUCAAGAAAGUUUUGGUGUUGGUCUCAUGCUAGAUAAUCAAAGACCUUACACAUAAAGACUUCAUCAAAUCCCUCCCAUUCCAUUGAUAUUACUUCUUUAAUAAAUGCUUGGUGUGUUUUAUUCUCGUUAAAAUGGGCCUGAUCUCAAAAGUUUGUGAGGAUUUAAACAAAAAUAUAAAUUUGGGGAUUUAAAUAAAAAUAUAAACUUGGGUUAGAAAAAUUAAGGCCCGUGGGCCUUCAAUAAUAUUUUAUUGGCUUGGUUUGAUCGUAAUAUUUUAUUGGCUUAGUUUGAAAAUUCUAUAAUUUUUAUUUAUUGUUAAUUUUAUUACUAUUUUAGAGUUAUUUACUUAUUGCACGUGUUUUAGUUUUAUUUAAUAUAAAGAGUUUUUCUAAAUUUUUCUUCAAUUUAUUAAAGAAUAUUUAUUUACAUAAAAUAAAAAAAAAUUAAAUAUAGGCCAAGCCUAAAUUUUAUAUCCAUAGACGAAUUUAAACAAAAAUUUAAACCCAUCAUAAUAUUUUUUUCACUAACUUCAACAGUUGUACUUUUAUUUCUAGAAAUUAGUCCCUCUAUUUUUCAUAUUGAAUUUUCCAUCAAAUAAAUAUGAAUUUUAAAGCCAAUCAUAGAUAUUAUAUAUUGUGUAUUACAAAAUAUUUAAAAUAUAUUUAAAACAUAAAUUCCAAAAGGAAAAUCUUUAAAAAAAAUUUAACUAAUUUAAUUAUCCAUUAUGAAAAAGCUAAACUUGAAAAAUGUAUAUAAGGCAUGAUCCAAAAUUCACAAGUACAUAGACAAAAUAAUCAUUUUAAAAAGGUUAAAUUUUGCUAUUGGAUCCUGUAUUUUGUGUAAAUUGUGAAUUUAGUACAUAUACUUUAAUUUGAUCAAUUUUAGCCCUUAUACUUUUCGAAUUUUAAAAUUUUAAUCCUAACCCAAUAGUAACGGUUAAAUUUGUUUGGUUAAAUUAUGCCAUUAGUCCUAUAUUAUGCGUGACACUAUAGAUUUAGUUCACAUUUACCAAUUGGAUCAUUCUUAGUGACUAUAUUCUUUGAAUUUCAAAACUUAAGUCUUAAUGCAAAUGACAAUCGUUAAAAUCUAUAAACUGACUUCUGUGAGUAAUAUGUGAAAAUAACAAAUAAACAUAGCAUUACACAUGUGAUAAUAUGUUUGACACAUCAAAUUUUAAAAAUAACAUAACUUAACUUAAUGAAUUUAAUAGUUAUCAUUUGGUUAGAACUAAAGUUUUGAAAUUCUAAAAGUAUAGGGACUGAAAAUAACAAAAUUAACAUACAAGUACUAAAUCCACAAUUUACGUAAAGUACAAAUUCAAAAGGUAAUUUUUGUUUAUACCUUAAAGUACAUUAAAGAACAUUUGCUUUUUUUAUUAUCUUUAAUUUUUAUAUUUAAAUGGAUUUUUAUAAAUUUUAUAUAAAAUAUAAAAACAAAAAAAAGUAUUAUUUAGCGAAAGGAAUAAAGUUUUUAGUCAUUUCUUAAUUAAAUUGAUAGGUAAUUGAUUCUCACACCAUGAUAACUGCGAUGAUAAUAAUCAAAUCUAAGUAUUCCAGAACUCAACACUUGGUAAUAAUUAUGCUACGUUUGGUGGAGUAUAUAUUUUACUUUUCCACUUGUUGUAGUUAUGAAUUAGCAAUAAACUGAUUACGAUUCGUAAUUUUUAGCUACGCACUUUACUUGUUUAAUUUUUGGUUCAAUUAGGCACUUGUAUCCGACAAAAGUUGCUUAAUUUGAUAUUAAAAAUAACAGUGUUAACUUUUCAAUGUUUAAACCGAAUUUUAGAGUUGAUUUAAUGAAAGUUAAUUGCUAAUAUUAUUAUGUUUGAAACUUUUUUUUCCAUGAUUUUGUUAAAAGAAUAAUUUUAAUGUCAAUUGUGAAUAUGUUUAAGUUUGCAUUUAAUUUGUCAAAGACAUUCCAGUAAUUGUGAUUUAAUUCGGGUUUCAGAAUAGAUUAGCUAAGACUAUUACAUUCAAGUAUAAAAAUGUAUAACUUUUGUCAAAUGCAUAUACCACACUAGACUAAAAAAAUAACAUAAAUAUCACAUUAAGUAUUUAUAUAUUAAUCCCAUUAUAGGUUCUUAUCAUAUUUGUUCAUUUUGAUAUAAUACCUGAAAUUAUUCAUAGCCACUCCCCAAACUUUAAAUGAAAGUAUAAUACAUUUCAACACACUUGAACUUACAUCCUCCUACACUGAUAACAAUACCGAUAUAUACCGAUUGAGCUAAGACUCAAUCGAUUUUAAAUGUAAACUUCGAUUAUAUUAAAAAAUAUUAUUAAUUUAUUAAUAUAAAAGAAUAGAUGCAAUUGACAUUUGACAAAGUAUAAAGAAGCCACAUGGAGGAAGACUUGGAUCCCAAAACUCCAAAGGGCAUGACAAUGUCAGGCCUCAUACCCCCUAAAAAGGGCAAAAAUCCAAAUCUAUUCUACUACACAGGGUUUUCAGUAACCAGCCAACACAUAGCAUCUCUUUGCUUUGCUGUGCUUUCUGAUGCUGCCACGAUUCCCUUUUUACAUGCUUAUCCCUAAUUAUGUUUCGCCACGCCUCCCCUCACCCCCAUACCCUUAAUUUCUUCUCUUCUGCAUCCUCAUUCUUAUUAUAAUCACAUUCAAUUCCAAUUAUUUAUUAUUUGAAAAACAUUAAACUUAUUACCAAAUUGAUUAUUAAUACUUUAAUAAUUUAUUUAUCGAAUUUAUUAAUAUAAUUAUACUUAUUAUACAUCUAAAAUUUUAAAUCUUGUUCGAUAUUUCUAUCAUUUUGAGGUAUAACAUUAUCUUAAUUAAUAUAUAUUCAACAUGGUAAUUUUUUUGACUUAAAAUAAAUAGUUAGUCAAAACCCUAAUAUAAUUACUAGAUAUACUGAAAAUUUUCAUAUUAAUUUAAUGGAAGCCGAAUAUAAUUAUCGAAAACCUAAUAUAAUUACAGGAUAUUAAUAUUCCACACCCCCAUGGCCCUUAUAUAUACCCAAGUCCCCCAUCCCAAUCUAUUUGUCCCCUUAUCACUCAACACUUUAUUCUUCUCUCUCCAUUAAUCUUCGUUGAAAGAAAAUCAUCUUUGCUUUCACCCAUGACCACUGUUUAUGACCCUUCACACCAUCUCACCUCCAAAAAAUUGUGUUUCAAGGACCUUGAAAUCCCUCCAAGGAAAAAGCAACUCCAUUGUUGCCACAACGCCGCCGCCAUGGAACUUCCCCACCACGAAGCUAGGCUCCACAAAUACCUUCCUUCCAAUGAAGACGAUGACGGCACCGAUGAUCCAUACGGCACCGACCAUUUCCGUAUGUACGAGUUCAAAGUAAGAAGAUGUACAAGGAGCCGUAGUCAUGACUGGACUGACUGUCCCUUCGCUCAUCCCGGUGAAAAAGCCCGCCGUCGUGACCCUAUUCGGUACCAAUACUCCUCCACCAUCUGUUCUGACCACCGCCGUGGCGGUGGUUGCCCUCGCGGCGAUGACUGUGAGUUCGCUCAUGGAGUGUUUGAGUGUUGGCUACACCCUACACGUUACAGAACCGAAGCUUGUAAAGAUGGUAAGAAUUGCAAGCGUAAGGUUUGUUUCUUUGCUCACUCGUCACGUGAGCUUCGUCUCUUGCCGGAAUCACCACCGCCAUUGAAGUAUAAAAACCUUGACAACAACUAUAACCAUUGCUGCUUGUUUUGUCGGUCGGUUACAUCGUCGUCGUCGUUGUCCCCGACAAGCACUCUCUUGGGUUUAUCUCAUUUCUCGAGAUCCCCAUCCCUGUCACCGCCUCUAUCUCCCUUAGGACACCAGCAAAGAACACCAAGGUACGGCGGUGAUCGUCUUAGUAAAUUUGGAACCGAAAUGACAAGCAGUUACGAUGAUGUUUUGUUGAAGGAAGUCAUGAGUUGUUUAGGAACCAUGAAUUUGUCCGAAGCAUCUUCACCAAUGGCUACUACUGCAAAUACGAACAUUCCAUGGCUUGAUGUUUCAUUCAAAGGAGCUCCUUCAAUGGAAAGUCCUUCUGGUUCUGGUGAAUAUUUCAAUGGUGGUGGUGAUGAUGAGAAAAACAAUGGAAACGGUUUCGUUUUGGAUCAUGAUCUUGACCUCGGGUGGGUUAAUGAGCUCUUGAUGUAGAGGAAGAAGAUCAUAUGAUAAAUAUAUAUGAUCUUCAAAGUGUAUAUAUUUUAUGUGUGAUUGGGUUUAAACAAGAUUGCUGAUCUGAUUAUUGUUAUUAAAUAUUUUAUUAUUGCAA
rnacentral:lncRNA from 1 species